rnacentral:rRNA from 1 species
UACGUAGGGUGCGAGCGUUGUCCGGAAUUACUGGGCGUAAAGAGCUCGUAGGUGGUUUGUCGCGUCUGCUGUGAAAACUGGAGGCUCAACCUCCAGCCUGCAGUGGGUACGGGCAGACUAGAGUGCGGUAGGGGAGAUUGGAAUUCCUGGUGUAGCGGUGGAAUGCGCAGAUAUCGAGGAGGAACACCGAUGGCGAAGGCAGAUCUCUGGGCCGUAACUGACGCUGAGGAGCGAAAGCAUGGGGAGCGAACAGG